UACAGAGGUCUCAAGCGUUGUUCGGAUUCAUUGGGCGUAAAGGGUGCGUAGGCGGCGCGGUAAGUCGGGUGUGAAAUCUCGGAGCUUAACUCCGAAACUGCAUUCGAUACUGCCGUGCUUGAGGACUGGAGAGGAGACUGGAAUUUACGGUGUAGCGGUGAAAUGCGUAGAUAUCGUAAGGAAGACCAGUGGCGAAGGCGGGUCUCUGGACAGUUCCUGACGCUGAAGCGCGAAAGCCAGGGGAGCAAACGGG
rnacentral:rRNA from 1 species